UUUUUUUUUUUAAUGACUUAAAUCCUUAAAAGAAUCUUGUACACGUACAAGUGAAAUGUCCAAAUGAAAUCUUGCACAUCUUCAUUUGGUUAUUCUAUGAGUUGACAUUACUAAAUGUUUAUGCAGUUAUAUUUCCAGAAUUCAUUUUGGUAAGAGAUAUAUAUUUAGUGUGUGUUGGAUUUCAAUUACUAGUUUCUUGAAUUAUGUCCAGCUAAUAAAUGCUCCUUUUCAGUUCUUUUGUGACACUGAUUGUCUGAUUAUAUAGUUUUUUGAGCUCUGUCCCACUCCAAUGAUCUCCUAUUUUCCACGGCAGAAAUGGAAGCCAAGCACUUCAGUCUCUGCCACGCUCUAAGACUUGGCAGAACUGGUACUGCCACUGCUCCCGCGUAAGUUCUGUGACUGUGCGACUUACUCAUUUUUUCUUAUGAAAUACAGAAGCAUUUUGUGGCUUUCUGAGAGGAAAAUCUUGUUGGAGUUCAAUCUGAAUUAUGCAUAACUUCUAAACUGGCUGUUGAAAGUUAUUAUUGAAUUAGUUUAUCAUUUGUAACACCUGUGCACAUGCCUCCGCCUACACUAGGAAAUGGGGAUUCGAGUCAGUGUUUAUGGGAAGCCCUUUAGGCUCUGCCUGACCAUGUGUCUCCCCGGGCCCCCACAUUCCCUCCCUGCCACCUCCUCCAGGCCACUCUCUAGCUGGUUGGAAUAUGCUUUCGUGUAGACUUUGGCCUUGAACCUUAUUCUUUUUCCUUCACUUCCCUUUUUAUCGUUCACAUCACAUCCUUUUGACAUGUUGCUUAAUUUCCAACUGGGGCCCUAAUAGGUGCCAUUUUUUUCUACUGCUUUGAUUCGAUUAUCUUACUCCCCUGUCUUCCUCUUCCAGCUCUAGACCCCAGAACUCCAGCCAGAGCCGGAAGAUGUUUACCCUCCCAGGUACUGAUGCACCUUACUAUGUUUGUGCAAAACAUUUAUACUUAUCAAUAUUUUGUUAUUUUUAUUAUGAAUCUAUGUCUUGCUAUUUUUAUCACAGUGCUUUUGUGUGUGUGGGUGUGUGGGUGUGUGUUAUACGGAGGGCAGGUCCUUCCUCUUGCCUUUCCAUUUAUUAUUACUAGAUUAAAAUAUUACUGAUUUCUUCUGUAUUAAAACUGACAUGUCUUCUCCAUUCAAACAUUACUGCUAUUAGUUUUUAGCAAUUCUCGGAAGGGUUCUAAGUAUAUGGGCUCUACCUACAGAUGAUAAAACACUGCUUCAUCCUCUCCAGUACUUGUUGUCCUCAUCUAUGGGAGCACAGGGCACAGCAUCACUGUCCAGACAUCACACCCACAAGAGUGAGCUUUGGUGCCGUGGGCGAUGACAAAGCACCUUGCUCAGUGAUGGAGGCUACGGAGGUACAUGCAAUCAGCGGACCUGAGAUGCUCACUGGGGACCUCUAGAAAUAAUAAGAGGAUUUUCAGUGUGGGAAAUACACAUGGAAGGUGAAGACCAGAGCCCAAAAAAUCUAGUUUAUUCCUAGGUCCCGUUUAUUAUGAUAUGCCCUUUGUGACCAGAGGAAGUAAAGCAGACAUCAACUAUGAAAAUACACAAGAAUGGAACCGUUUCAGUGAGAGCUAAAAAUGAAGAACGACAGAUUUCCUGGAAAUAGCAAAGAAGAAGGCAAAGAGUCAGUUAAGGAUGAAGUGAAAUCUCAAACCUCAAUCCUACAGAAAUGACAUAAAGAACAACUAGCAAGUCUAAACAUUAACUUAGAAAGCAAAGGUUUAGAAUUUCCCAGACCUUAGAAUUUAAAAAACUGGUUUAUUCCUCCUUUAAAAAUUUUUAAGGACUGACAUAGACUGUUUUAAAAAAUUACCAUUUGUUCAUAGGAGAAAAAAAAGAAGAAUGUUUUAAAAAAUGACCACUUGUUCAUAGGAGAAAAAAAAACAUUUCGUAACCAAAACUUUAGGAAUGGCACAGGCUAUGAGUAAAGAAGAGUUUUAUAAAUUUAAAACACUCCUCUUCAUCAGGAACUCACUUUAUUGCCCUGGUAUUUCUAAAUUAGCCAGAGAUAAAUGCGCACCUCAUCAGGGUCUGGCGGGUCCACUGACCCGUGUAAGGACAUCACACCAGGGAGAUGUCAAAACACUUGACAGCUGCGUGGAUUGGGUACCAACCAACCACAGUAAACGCCACCAUUUAAACGGACAUUAACCACGGACGGCCCGUUGAAAAUAAAACCUGAGGAGGAUCACAGGUAUGAACCUAAUCUGCGCACAACUGUGGUAUCGGAGGAGACAUGGGGGAAAGCGAAAAUAGCCACAAUUAUGAAACUAAGACACCAACCUAAAAUAAGGCUCUUGCAUUGAUGAAAGUGUGUGUCCUAGAGUUGGAGAUUCAGCGUUGUCUCCCUCACUAACGCAAAGGAAGAGAGAGUUACUAACACGCUACUUAGGUUUCAGACAACAAAUGCAAAGAACCUGAAAUUCAGGCACCUCAGAUGAGAGGAGACCUGACAUUCAAAGGUGGGAAGAAAAGAAAAUCUUUCCUUUUAUAAUUUAAAGAUUAGAGGAUGAAGAGACUUAGACAACACUCAUGGGAUGUGUUUUUUCAUCACAGAUCAAUUACCUUGCUAAGUUGCUGUUCUCUUUGAAGGAAGAAAGCAUUUCCAAAAUCACAAUAAGAGAAAAGUCCCUGCCUCCAGCAAAUACCCAAUGAUGCGCUGAGCUGGUUUUACAGAGAGGAUCACGCGGGGGGGAGGCAACAGCCACCAUCCUGACCCGGGGGCUAACGGGACCACUGUGACGUGCAAAAUACACUCUGCUCACCUCGGGGCCUCAGAAAUGGGGCCAUAAAUGGUUUCAAGAUUACUGAGAAAUUACAAGGAAGAUUAGGUACAGGUGGGUAAGUGUGCAGUAAAGGAAAAAGAGCUAAAUAGUCAAAUAAAAUGAAAAUGAAAUAAAACAAACUCUAGUUCUCCCGAAGACCAUGCAAUGACUCUUUUUUUAAGUAAGACUAUAUAUUUAGAGAAAUACAAGGUUCACAGAAAAACUGAGGGCAAAGGGACAGAGAUUUCUCAUAUAGCCCCUGCCCCACACAUGCAUAACCCACCCCACUUUCCAUUAUCAAUAUCUCAACAGAGCAUUUGUUACAAACGAUGAAACUACACUGAUACGUCACAACACCCAAAGGCCAUCCUUUACACUGUAAUCCACUCUUGGGGUUUACAUUCUAUGGGUUUGGACCAACGUAUGAAAACAUGUACCGAUCAUUACAGGGUCACACAGUAUUUUCACUGCCCUAAAAAUACUCCAUGCUCUCUGUCUACUCAUUGUCCCAACACGUGCCAACCACUGAUCUUUUCACUCUUCCAGAACACCGUACGGUUGGAAUCCCAUAGUACAGAGCCUUUGCAGUCUGGCUUCUUUCUCUUGGUGGUAAACAGUCAAGGCUCCUUCAUAUUUUCUCAGCUUGAUGGCUCAUUUUUUUAAGCACUGAAUGAUACUCCAUUGUCUGGAGGGUCCACAGUUUACUUGCCCACUGACCUACGGAAGGACAUCUUAGUUGCUUCCCAGUUUGGGCAAUUAUGAAUAAGACUGUAACAAACACCUGUUGUGCAGGUUUUUGCGUGGACAUACCUUUUCAACUCCUCUGGGUAAAUACCAAGGAGUACAACUGUGGAUCAUACGGUAAGGCUGUGCUUAGUUUUGUAAGAAAUCACCAAACUGACUUCUAAAGUGGGUCCAUCACUUUGCAUCCCCACCAGCAAUAGACAUGGGUUCCUGCUGCUCACAUCUUUGCCAGUAUUUGCUGCUCUCAGUGUUCCAGAUUUCAGCUCUUCUAAUAGGUGUAUAGGGGUAUCUGGCUGUUUUAAUUUGCAUUUCCCCGAUGAUAUAUGAUGUGGAGCAUCUUUCCAUACGCUUAUUCAUCAUCCAUAUAUGUAUUUUUUGAUGAGGCACCUGUUAAAGUCUUUGACAUAUUUUAAAUUGGGUUAUUUGUUUUCUUAUUUAAUUUUAAGAGCUCUUUGUAUAUCAUGGAUAACAGUUCUUUACCAUAUGUGUCUCUUGGAAAUAUUUACUCUCAGUUGGUGGCCUGGACUCACAUUCUCUUGAUAUUGUCUGUUGAAGAGCAGAAGCUGUUAAUUUUACUGAAGUCCACCUUAUCAAUUAUUUCUUUCAUAGACCAUGUAUUUGCUGUUGUAUCUAAAAAGUUAUCCUCAUCCCAAGAUCACCUAGGUUUGCGCCAUUCCUAUCUUCUAGGAGUUUUAUUGUAUUACGUUUUACUUUUAUUUAUUUUUUUAGGGCCACACCCACGGCACACGAAGGUCCCCAAGCUAGAGGUUGAAUUGGAGCUGUAGCUGCCAGCCUACAGCACAGCCAAAGCAACGUGGGAUCCAAGCCACGUCUAUGACCUACACCACAGUUCACAGCAACACUGAAUCCUUAACCUACUGAGAGAGGCCAGUGAUCGAACCUGCAUCCUCACGGAUGCUAGCUGGGUUCGUUAACCUCUGAGCCAUGACAGGAACUCCUAUGUUUUACUUUUAGAUCUGUGAUUCAUUUUCAGUUAAUGUUUGCGAAGGGUAUAUGCAAAUCUUUUAAACUAUUUAUUAAAAGACAUCGAAAUUAAAUAAACAUAUUUAGGUAUGAAGCUUAGAUUUUUUUAAAAGUUAAUUAGCUCUCUGUGGAGAAGACUAAAGAAAUAUUCAUGUAGUUACCCUUCGGCUGAGAAAUCUCAGUUCUAGAAUCUCCCCUUCACCUACAUCUCCGCAAACAUCAUACGACAAAGGCACACGGUUAUUCAGCGAAGCAUUUUUAUCACAGCAAAAUCUACUGAAAGGUGAGAGAAUACAAAUUCCUGUUAGUAGGAACACGGUUAAACAAGCUACAUCCACCUAAUAGAAUAUUAUGCAGCUAAAAAAUAAUUAGAAAGAUUUAUAUGAAUUGACAUAUGGAGUCAUUUCUGUUUUAGUUUCCAUAUUUAAGAUUUUAAAAGGUGCAAAAGAACGUAUACAGAGAAUGCUUCCUUUUGUAUAAGAAAGAAGAAAAAAUAAAACUAUAAAUACAUGCCUACUUUUACAAAAAGAAACACGAGAAGGAUAAACCAGAAACUACUGACCGCGGUUACCUAAGAUGAGGGCUCAUUUCAAUAGUUGUGCGGAGUGUGGGAGCAGAGAAGAGGAGAUGAGGCUGGGAGCUAGUACCUAAGGAGCCAGUACCUAAGGAGCCAGCACCUAAGGAGCCAGCACCUAAGGGUGUCUUUAGUUAAAGACACCUUUCACAUACUUUACCUUUAUUUGAGUAUACAUUUUUAUACAGCUUUGAUUUUUUAAAAAAUGUGAAUGCUUUCUACAUUCAAAAAUAAAAUUAAAUAACAAGUAUCUAAAAGGAAAACACCUAAAUUGAAUAUAAGGUUAAGGAAAUAAAUCUAACUAAACGAAGUUGGUGGGAAACGGAAUUUUUUUCGAAAGACUUUCAACAUAGCACUGGCUUUCCUCCUCUAGUAGCAUCUACUCUGAGGAAAAGAAUGAACUGCAAAGAAACCCCGAGCUAUUUACAAUACUUGGUUUUUAGUAGUAAUAUUAGUAUUGAGAAUAUGUAGGUACCAAGGUUUGCACUGUAACAAAAAAGAAAGAAAAACAGGAUAUAAACAAAUCUAAUAAACUGAUGUUAAAUCUUAAUGGGAAAUAUUAAUAAGAACUAAUGAUUCCACAUACAAGCUUUCUAGCUCAGUUGGGGUCAGGUGAACAUGGUCCGGAUAUUAGGUGAUGCUGUAGAUUAUUUUUAGUUUUUUAAGGUGUGGCAAUGAUAUUGUACUUACAUAGGAGGAUUUCUUUGUUCUUCGGAUACUUAAGGCUAUGUGUGGAUUCUGGGGUGGAGUCCAUGGCAUUCGCAACUUACUUUCAAAUGGAUCAGUAAAAAUAGAUUAUUAUGUUUUUAAUGCUCAAACCGUCCAAAAUUUAGCCAGAGAGAGACCAAGACCAGAGACAGAGAGACAGACAGAAAGCGAGAGGAAGCAAAAUCCUAAUAAGACUGACUUAUGAAGAAAGAGAAAAAUCUGAAUAGUAUUGCAACAAUUCAGUAAAUUUGAUCUGUAAUAUGAAAGUUUUCUAAAGGCAAAAAUGUGAGCCUAAAUGUCUUAGUGAAUCAAUUCUAUCCAAAUGUCAGGAAGAAAUAAAGCCAAAGCAGUGGACGCUCUUCCAGAGAAUUGAAAAAAGGGGGCACACUUCCCUCUAUGCUUGAGGAGGCCAGAAUAAAUUUGACCCCCAAGCUUAGCAAAGACAUUAUAAGAAAAGAAAAUUAUAGGCCAUUUUCAUUAAUAAAGAUAAAUGCAAAAUUCCAAACAAUAUUAGCAAAUUAGAGGUUCCAUUUCCAGGAGUGGUAGAAUAGGUUGUAUCAGAAUGACCUUCUAAUGAUCUCUGCCUAGUAAUGGUCAUCAACUCUGACCCAAGAGUGACCCAAUGCAGCCAAACAUCACAGGGCACAUGAGCCUUGAAAGAAAGGCAACACACGGGCUUAAUUUACACGUACUGACUUCGCACCUAAGGGCUCCCCUAAUUCAGUGCUGCACGCAGGAACAGAGCUCAGGAAGAGAGCAGCAGGCUUGCUGGGCA
rnacentral:lncRNA from 1 species